rnacentral:rRNA from 1 species
CCUACGGGAGGCAGCAGUGGGGAAUAUUGGACAAUGGGCGAAAGCCUGAUCCAGCAAUGCCGCGUGAGUGAUGAAGGCCUUAGGGUUGUAAAGCUCUUUUACCAGGGAUGAUAAUGACAGUACCUGGAGAAUAAGCUCCGGCUAACUCCGUGCCAGCAGCCGCGGUAAUACGGAGGGAGCUAGCGUUGUUCGGAAUUACUGGGCGUAAAGCGUACGUAGGCGGUUAUUCAAGUCAGAGGUGAAAGCCUGGAGCUCAACUCCAGAACUGCCUUUGAAACUAGAUAGCUAGAAUCUUGGAGAGGUGAGUGGAAUUCCGAGUGUAGAGGUGAAAUUCGUAGAUAUUCGGAAGAACACCAGUGGCGAAGGCGACUCACUGGACAAGUAUUGACGCUGAGGUACGAAAGCGUGGGGAGCAAACAGGAUUAGAUACCCUGGUAGUCCACGCCGUAAACGAUGAUAACUAGCUGUUCGGCUCUACGAGCUGAGUGGCGCNGCUACGACAUUAAGUUAGUCCGUCCGUGGGAGGUACGGUCGCGAGAAGUUAAACGUUAAAAGUAAAGUUAGUUAGGUCGUUGAGACGUUGCGACGGACGACGACGAGGGAGGAGG